rnacentral:rRNA from 1 species
GACGUAGGGGGCCAGCGUUGCUCGGAAUUACUGGGCGUAAAGGGUGCGUAGGCGGGUCUUUAAGUCAGGGGUGAAAUCCUGGAGCUCAACUCCAGAACUGCCUUUGAUACUGAAGAUCUUGAGUUCGGGAGAGGUGAGUGGAACUGCGAGUGUAGAGGUGAAAUUCGUAGAUAUUCGCAAGAACACCAGUGGCGAAGGCGGCUCACUGGCCCGAUACUGACGCUGAGGCACGAAAGCGUGGGGAGCAAACAGG